GCCAGAGUGGCGGAAUUGGUAGACGCACCGGAUUCAAAAUCCGGCGCCCGAAAUGGUGUGCGGGUUCGAGUCCCGCCUCUGGCACCA
rnacentral:tRNA from 1 species